UUUAAAUUAUGGACCAAAGCUUCUAAAAUCCUGGAAGACUAUGGCCACUGGCUACAGUCCCAAACCCACUGUACGUUUCCCAUCUCUGUUCGUGGGUCCUAAUAUUGGUUCUUUGGCUUAAUCCCUGAACAAACCACGUUCUCUUUUCUUCCAGGUGACAUGAUGGUUCAGAGGCUCACAAAAAGCUGUGCAAUCUCAACUGCCUGCACAUCCUCCACAGAAUACAUGAAUAUGGGGCGCGGGAAAUUGUUAAGGACAGCAGUGCUGUGUUGUACUGGGAGGGCCUGCAAAACAGCUGCUCCUCAACGUAGGUGCCUCUAAUUUCUCAGUGCACCCCUCUCUUUCCUUCAUACCUUCUUUUCCUGCCAUGGCUGCCCCAGCAUCUGGCACCAGAGACCGUUCCUUCACUCUGGCCAAUGGUAGGACCGGCCCUGUUUGCUACCAUAAGAUGUAGGGAAAACACCUCUUCGGUUCAUGUAUUUGGGUGUCCAAUCACCUCUUCCUCUCCCUUCUUUUUUUGCAGUACUUCCCUUGGAGAAGAAAACCAAUGGGAAGCAAUGUCCAGCCUGUUAUUCUCGGACAGGCGCAUGCAAUCCAGACCUAUUGAACUGUACAGGAUCAGAGAAGUACUGCUUUGACCUGUUUGCACGUACAUAUACUCCGGAUGAAAUCACGACCUCUUUUAUGAUGGGCUGCACAACCAAAGCUGGCUGCGACGCAAUAGAUCACGGUACCACUCCCUAUUUGGAAGGCAUUGAUACUGUGGUUGUGAAGUCCCGUUGUUUACAAACAGACACCUCAAAGGGGUUUCGAUCUUCUAGGAGCCUCCUACCAACCUUCUCUGGGGUCCUACCGGUCCUGCUGAUCAUCUGGUAGAAAUCACCUUUAACGAUUGAAUCGACUCUGCAUAUUCCAUUCUUUAUUUUCUCCCAGUGCUGUUUUGAUUUCUGUGCUUUGUUUUAAGUGUUUUGGCUCCAGUAAAAAAAAUAAAUGUCAAGCUCAAAACA
rnacentral:lncRNA from 1 species